rnacentral:lncRNA from 1 species
CGGGGAGGGGUGGGGAGGGAAGAGGGGAGGAGGCGGGCCCAGCGAGCCGCCGGAAGGGGCGGGCCCGGCGGCGUGACUGACAGCCCCCGAACAGGGGCCGGGGGCCGCGAGGCCCGGGUUCGGAAAAAGAGCUCCGAAGACGCGCGCUUAGGUUCGGCAGGGCUAAGGUCACCGAGAGUCCUCUCGGAGCUUUCUUUUCAUAUUUUGAAGUAACUUUUUUCCAGAUCCCCAACAUUUUCAGAGGAGCUUCAGAAACAUAAAAGCCAGUAAGUUCAUCAGCUUCUAAGGAAUCAGCUACAGAGAUGGCAGAACUGAAUGAUGCAUAAAUAAGUGGAUCUAAAAUGGAGAUUUAUCUGAGCAGGCAUUCUCACUGCUGAGAGUAAACUAAGGAAGUAUCCAGUAUGAUCCUUCAUUUAAGAACGGGAAACAAUUCAUCUCUCUUCCCUGAUCCAUCCACUGGACUAAUUGAAGUUACCAGGUGACAUGGACGAAUAGAAAGUGGCUGAUGAAUGGCAGGAGUGGAAGAAGGUGUCCCCAUACACACUUG